GCUAAAGGAGUGGAGCUCCUUGAAGUCCAAUAGAGGAUCUUGAUGGGUAGAUUGAGCUGCUGAGCUAUGGAUCCCACAGCCCUAUAAGCAGAGAUUAUAAUUUUGGAUAGGCUUGUGGCUUGCAUAUCUCAGGAGCUUCAUUACCUUGUAUUAGAUCCUUGUUUGGAUUGAAGGGAGCUCUACAUCUCUCUCUC
rnacentral:pre_miRNA from 9 species